UACGUAGGGUGCGAGCGUUAAUCGGAAUUAUUGGGCGUAAAGCGUGCGCAGGCGGUUUUAUAAGACAGAUGUGAAAUCCCCGGGCUUAACCUGGGAACUGCGUUUGUGACUGUAAGACUGGAGUGUGGCAGAGGGGGGUGGAAUUCCACGUGUAGCAGUGAAAUGCGUAGAUAUGUGGAGGAACAUCGAUGGCGAAGGCAGCCCCCUGGGUUAACACUGACGCUCAUGCACGAAAGCGUGGGGAGCAAAC
rnacentral:rRNA from 1 species